AACGAACGCUGGCGGCGCGCUUAACACAUGCAAGUCGAACGAGAAGCUGUAGCAAUACAGUUGUAAAGUGGCAAACGGGUGAGGUAAUGCGUGGGUAAUCUACCCUAGGGUGGGGGAAUAACUCCUCGAAAGGGGAGCUAAUGCCGACAUGUGCGCCACUCUCGCAAGGGAUGAUGGAAAGCCGUACCGUGGGUGCGGCGCCAAGGAUGAGCUCACGUCCAUCAGCUUGUUGGCGGGGUAACGGCCCACCAAGGCUGCGACGGGGUAGCUGGUCUGAGGAGGACGACCA
rnacentral:rRNA from 1 species